AUACGUAGGUGGCGAGCGUUGUCCGGAUUUACUGGGUGUAAAGGGCGAGUAGGCGGAUGAGCAAGUCAGAUGUGAAAUACCGGGGCUUAACCCCGGGGCUGCAUUUGAAACUGCUUAUCUUGAGUGAUGGAGAGGCAGGCGGAAUUUCCGGUGUAGCGGUGGAAUGCGUAGAUAUCGGGAGGAACACCAGUGGCGAAGGCGGCCUGCUGGACAUUAACUGACGCUGAUGAGCGAAAGCGUGGGGAGCAAACAGGAUUAGAUACCCUGGUAGUCCACGCUGUAAACGAUGGAUACUAGGUGUGGGAGGUAUUGACCCCUUCCGUGCCGGAGUUAACACAAUAAGUAUCCCACCUGGGGAGUACGGCCGCAAGGUUGA
rnacentral:rRNA from 1 species